CUCACCUUUCGGCGAAAUUCGCCGUUUUGAAACCAAAAUAGGUGACCUCCGUGAAUCGUGUAGAUUUGAUGAAAAAAUAUUAAUGGGGUGGGGUGGGGGGGGGGGGGGGGGGUAGGUUCAGAGGCCGGCCAGUUUAUAGUCCUCCGUAAAGUGCUGUACUUAUGCUGCGUUCGAGUAUUCUCUGCGAACCGACUCGGAUCUCGGAUCUGACGCCACGCCCACACUUCAAGCGUUUUAUUAUUUCGCUCGGUCGUUGGAGGAAAACAUGGACGCCACCCGGAAAGCUGUUGUCGCGGUAGCAUUGGCAGAGGACCAGGCGCUCCAAAAUAAGUAGGCUAUAGGCCAUAGUCAAGCAGAGAUACGGACGCAGUAAGGUAUUGCAGUAAUACGAGUGAUUGAAAUUACCAUUUUAACUAGGGCUGCAACAACGAAUCGAUAAAAUCGAUAAAAAUCGAUUACUAAAUGUCGUGUCGCGCGAUUAAUAAGUUACUCAUAGGCGCAGCACUGUUUACAGCCAGCCGCCGACAGGUUGGUUCACGGUUCAUGCACGCCCACAGCGAGCUUCAGUGUGAGCGACCACAGCUUGUAUUUGUCAUAUCUUAAAACUGGACUGUAGGCCUACAUAAAAGUGUUGUACCUUCACUGUCUUUAGGUAAAAAAAAACUCCUUCAACUCAGUGUCCGUCUAGUAGUCCAACCGAAAAUUCUGUCAGCUGCUGCUGCUGCAGACGUUGUGCAGACAGGCUCGGAGUCGGCACCGCGUGCAUCAACAGUCAUUCAAAGCAGCGGUAGUAAUCACACAACCGGACGGUGUAGAAAGUCCCGUCAGUUAAAAAUAGUAAUGCAGUUUUUAAAUCCAUGUUAAAAUCGGCAGGAUAUAGAGAUGGUUAGCUUAAAAAAAACAACUAACCAAUGGUCACAAACAGUGUCAAAUGUGAUGUGUUCAGGUCGGCUCAGAAAUACGAUUGAUGCGUUCAAAUGCAGCAGUAAAAAAAUAAAUAAAAUUGAGAUUUUGGUGAAGACUUGUUUUCCCAGUAAUAUAAAAUAGAUAGUAAAGAUAGAAUUAAUUAUGACCUGUUUAAUGUCCUAUCUUGAACUAUCAUCAUCUUAUCAGCAAUUAAAGCAAUAUUACAAGUUCUAUUUCAAGGAGUCUCGAAAAUGGUAUCAAUAGGUUUGACCGGUUAACCAUGGACAUCCCUUGUAUACAUAUAAAAGUAUAUCAAAUCAUACAUUGUAUGUUUCUUUUUUGUGUUAUCCCAGUUAUGUUUUUUUAAUCUUUUUAUUAUUUAGUAUUACUUUUAAUAGUUCCGGGACGUUGGAGCAAUAACCUGGUGUUUUUACAUUUCAGUCUGCACUGUGAAUUUGAAGUAAUGUUCAGUUUUUGAAUAAAGAUGCGGCAAUUCCAAUUUUAUUUUUAUUUUUUUCUAUCCGAUUCAUCGAUUAAUCGAAAAAAUAAUCGACAGAUUAAUCGAUUAUUAAAAUAAUCGUUAGUUGCAGCCCUAAUUUUAACCACCAAAGUGGUCCAAGCACAAUGAAAACAGUUCAUACUUCAAGUCACAAUGAAUCUUGAAUUCUGUCUCGGAAUUUUGCUCGGUCACCACUGAGUUCAACCGAGAUGGCGAGUUCGCCGUCCGAGGAAAAGGGGCGUGUCGCUUGGCAACGUCCUCGGACCUCCGAGACGGAUGGAUAUUAAAACGCAGCAAUAGACAUGGAGAGCCUGUCGGAGAACCUCUCCGUAGUUUACGUGCGCAUCCAAUAUUUUUUAACUAUCAGUCGUCGCAACAGAGACGGUAAGGGCUGUGAUUGGUCCUCUAACAAAAUCCUUUCCGGAAACGCUACUCGGUUUGACUUUGGACCUUAUUUACUUUGUACGUUGUUUACUUUGCAAAGGACCAAUAAAAUACCAAAUAGGA